UACGUAGGGUGCAAGCGUUGUCCGGAAUUAUUGGGCGUAAAGAGCUCGUAGGCGGUUUGUUGCGUCGGCUGUGAAAUCCCGAGGCUCAACCUCGGGUCUGCAGUCGAUACGAGCAAACUAGAGUGUUGCAGGGGAGACUGGAAUUCCUGGUGUAGCGGUGAAAUGCGUAGAUAUCAGGAAGAACACCAGUGGCGAAGGCGGUGCUCUGGGCCGGAACUGACGCUGAGGAGCGAAAGCGUGGGGGAGCAAACAGGA
rnacentral:rRNA from 1 species